UACGUAGGGGGCAAGCGUUGUCCGGAAUUAUUGGGCGUAAAGAGCGUGUAGGCGGCCAGGUAAGUCCGCUGUGAAAUCUCGAGGCUCAACUUCGAGCUGUCGGUGGAAACUAUCUGGCUAGAGUCCGGAAGAGGAGAAUGGAAUUCCUGGUGUAGCGGUGAAAUGCGCAGAUAUCAGGAAGAACACCCGUGGCGAAGGCGGUUCUCUAGGACGGUACUGACGCUGAGACGCGAAAGCGAGGGGAGCGAACAGG
rnacentral:rRNA from 1 species